CCUCUACCACUGAGGGUCUCAGCUGUCCUACAGAGGAACAGUCAUGGCCUGAGGUUGCUGUCCAGACAUGAAUGUACCUACGGUGCAACCCUGGGGCUGCAGAGUGCUGAGCCCAGGAUUAAGAGCUACCUAUAGACAGGACUUCUUCCUUCUGCAGCGACUGAGCUGUUUGUCCUGGGCUCACAAGCAUACCCAGAGCUCACAGACCGGUGCAACUUUAAAAGCUUAGAGGGGCCUCCACAUUUUAUAGCUAGUUGUGUAGGAUACAUGGCAUUAUCCUGUCCAGAAUUCCAGUACUGUUUUCUGUCUCUUCUAACCUUAUCUUUAAAGAAGCAAAUUCAUGUCUGAAAGGAGACAUUAGGAAAACAAGAAGGUAUAGGGAAGGAAGGAAAAGGAAAUGACAACUUAGAAGAACGUGAUCCAUACUGGGAUAACGGAGGGAAUAGCAGCAGAAAUAAGAAGAGUGGGAUGUCCACUAAGAAGACAAUAAAUGGCUCUUGGUGCUGUAGGUCUACAAGCAAGAUUUGGCUCUAAUGUUCUCGUUCGUCAAAAAGACCUUGGUGCAAAAAUAGAAGAAUGCUGGCAAUAACAGGUUAUAUAAUUUCUUUUGAAAUCUCUGCUGAUUGUAGUAAAUAUUUCAGUAUUUGAAAUGGUUGUAAUCUGAUGAUAAUUGGUAAAGUUGGGUGAUAGUAAAACUGUAGAGAAGUUUCAUGUAUCUCAAAUGUGUGGUCUAAGUUUUAUUGAAGCUCACUUACCUGAAUUAAUUUAACAGGUGAAAAAGCUUCUCUAAAGCUCUUGUAUUACUAGAUUCACGAGACUUGUCAAAACCCAUGCAAGAUGGAAUCAGCAGUGAUUAUUGGCAAUAAGGUGCAUAAAGGAACAGAUAUGACAAACUCAUAUUACAUAGAUGGCAUGGGAUGCCUGUGUUGA